UGGGGAAUAUUGGACAAUGGGCGGAAGCCUGAUCCAGCAAUGCCGCGUGUGUGAAGAAGGCCUGCGGGUUGUAAAGCACUUUCGGUGGGGAGGAAGGCCUCUUGGAUAAUACCCAAGAGGAUUGACGUUACCCACAGAAGAAGCACCGACUAACUCUGUGCCAGCAGCCGCGGUAAUACAGAGGGUGCGAGCGUUAAUCGGAAUUACUGGGCGUAAAGGGUGCGUAGGUGGUUAUUUAAGUUAGGUGUGAAAGUCCAGGGCUUAACCUUGGGAUUGCGCCUAAUACUGGAUAGCUAGAGUACUGUAGAGGAAGGUGGAAUUUCCGGUGUAGCGGUGAAAUGCGUAGAUAUCGGAAGGAACAUCAGUGGCGAAGGCGACUUUCUGGACAGAUACUGACACUGAGGCACGAAAGCGUGGGGAGCAAACAG
rnacentral:rRNA from 1 species